rnacentral:tRNA from 1 species
UAUUCUGAUAGCUUAUAUUUUAGAGCAUAGCACUGAAGAUGCUAAGGAAGCGAUUGCGCUUCAGGAUAG